rnacentral:rRNA from 1 species
GACGAACGCUGGCGGCGUGCUUAACACAUGCAAGUCGAACGGAAAGGCCCUGCCUUUGUGGGGUGCUCGAUUGGCGAACGGGUGAGUAACACGUGAGUAACCUGCCCUUGACUUUGGGAUAACUUCAGGAAACUGGGGCUAAUACCGGAUAGGAGCUCCUGCUGCAUGGUGGGGGUUGGAAAGUUUCGGCGGUUGGGGCUGGACUCGCGGCUUAUCCGCUUGUUGGUGGGGUAGUGGCUUACCAAGGCUUUGACGGGUAGCCGGCCUGAGAGGGUGACCGGCCACAUUGGGACUGAGAUACGGCCCAGACUCCUACGGGAGGCAGCAGUGGGGAAUAUUGCACAAUGGGCGGAAGCCUGAUGCAGCAACGCCGCGUGCGGGAUGACGGCCUUCGGGUUGUAAACCGCUUUCGCCUGUGACGAAGCGUGAGUGACGGUAAUGGGUAAAGAAGCACCGGCUAACUACGUG